rnacentral:rRNA from 1 species
UACAGAGGAUGCAAGCGUUAUCCGGAAUUACUGGGCGUAAAGCGCACGUAGGCGGCUUUGCAAGUUAGAGGUGAAAGCCCGGGGCUCAACUCCGGAAUUGCCUUUAAAACUGCAUCGCUAGAAUUGUGGAGAGGUAAGUGGAAUUCCGAGUGUAGAGGUGAAAUUCGUAGAUAUUCGGAAGAACACCAGUGGCGAAGGCGACUUACUGGACACAUAUUGACGCUGAGGUGCGAAAGCGUGGGGAGCAAACAGG